AUUGUCCUGGCAACAACACGGCUCUUUCUCUAUUGUACCCCCAUGGCUAGCACUAAACAAGAGCAUGCAAUACAUUUCCUAUUUCAAAAUUGUGGAGUUUUAGACAGUAAACCUUAAGAUAAAGUUUGACUCUCCCUCAUUUCCCUUCCUGACCCAAUAAUGAUUAAAUAGAGACACUGGUAAAUAUCUCAUGAUGGAAUUUGAGGGCCAAAGAUUUCUCUUUAUUUGCUAGCCUAAGGAAGGACGAUGUCAUAUAAAGCCAGUAUUAAUUUUUAAAUGAUUGCCUCAAUUACAUAGCAGCAGCCUGGACUCACAAGGAAUAUAAUGUAAUAGAAAGUCCAUUAGAUUUCUCUUCAGUCAAAAGUCCUGGAUUCCAGGACUUAAUCUCUUCUACCUCUGUCAUUUACCCAAUGUACAAACUAGUAUUAACUUGAGCAAAUAACUUCACCUCUUUGGGCCUCAAUUACUUCAUCUUUACUAUCAAGGUAAUUUCCCACGCUAAAAGCCUUAGAUUCUGGUACUGAUAACCUAAUUCUCAUAAUACUGGAUUUGUCCUCUGCCACUAACAAGGUAAAUUUGCCAACUCUGCUAGAAUAUAUUUCUGCUGAGGCAGUUCCUGCCAACACAAUGGUAAACAAGGGCAGAAAGCAUAAAACAAGUAAAACAUAUGAUAAAUAGAAGGAGACAUAGACUCUAGCUAGACAGAAGGAAAUUUCACUAAAGGAAGUAAUACCAAGAUUCUUGCUGGGUGACAAGGAGAUUAUUGUGAAGCCCACAAAGGACAAGGACACUGUUUCUGGAUGUAUUGUAAUAAUGCAAUAUGUGUAAAGGAGUUGACUACAAGUUAAUUCUUCUGUUCUUCUUACUAAUGUAUUUUUCCCAUAGCUAUCUUUCUUUUUUAGUAAGAGAUGAAAGAUGAAAGAUGAAAACCACUCUUGGCGGUUAUGAAUUCUAAUGCAGAAUAGAGAAUUCUUGAUAAUGCAACAUACUACUGGUGACAUCGAAAGACAACUACAGACCAAAAGGCAAAAUCAAUAUGCUUCUGUAAUUACUCACCAGAACCCAACAGUUGGGUAUGUACUGUUUCAUGGAAAAUGAUGACUGCAGGACCCAGAGUAG